GAUGGGGAGAAAGGUUAAAAGGAAAAAACCCAUGGCUCUCUCUCUCGGUUCCGCCUCCUCCCUCUCCCUCGCAAACCCACUCCAUCGUUAGCAGUCAAAGCAGGCAAGCUAUCCCUCAACGCCAAGGCUGUCGAGUUUUCUUUCCCAUUAGCUUACAUGGCAAGGCACUUUUGAAAACUUGAUGAUGAUUGCACCCACAGAAGAAACACUUACAUCGGUUUCAAAAUCCGGCCAAGGUUCUAGCAUACUAUGGCUUGACAAACCCUCCAUAUAAGCUGCAAUAACAUUUUUUGGAUCUGGUUGGGUGUGGCUUGCUUAUAGCUAUUUCCUUGAAAUUAAUAAUGGCUGAAAGGCUUUUCUCUUGAGUUAAGAUCAACACUAGCAAGUGGUGCACAAGUCAUCUUUACAUGACUUGCUUUGCUGGAUGCAUAGUUCACUAGUUGCCACUGCUGCUAGUGCAAAACUGUCAUGAAGUACAUUCCUGACUUCUGCCAAUUGAUUUCAUGAAGUCAACACCGCAAAAGCUGUCACUCAAUUCUGAUCAUUCCACAUUAGAUCGAAGUUGCAGUCGUCGUUGAAUCCAUUCUCCCUGCAGUGGAGGAGUUUGUUCAUUCUUUGACAUGCACAAAUGAGUCUUCAACCCAAUGAUAUCAGCCUCAUAGAAAGCUGGCUUGUCAUGCUCAGAGGCAAAGGAGAGGAAGAUGGCAAAAGACAAGUCAAUUAGCUUAUGAUGGCAGCUCACAGAUGAGAUAAAAAAAAUGUGGAACUUCCUCCAAUGGUGUGGAAUAUUCCUGGCAUAUACUCUGCUGAAGUAUGCUGUGUAUCUUUUUUAAAGAGAAAAAGAAGAAGAAGAAGAGAUUUCCUUUGAAAUUUCGUGUUGUCUUUCUUAUCAUUCAUAAAGGAGAUUAAUAGUUAAUCAUCAAUUAGAUGGAUGAAGAUUUCAUGUUGAAUAUUUUGUAUUCUUUUUUAUUUCAAAAAAAAAGUCAUUUUGAGGCUUUUUA